rnacentral:rRNA from 1 species
UACAGAGGGGGCAAGCGUUGUUCGGAAUUACUGGGCGUAAAGGGCGCGUAGGUGGCCUUCUAAGUCGAACGUGAAAUCCCUGGGCUCAACCCAGGAACUGCGUCCGAGACUGGGAGGCUUGAAUCCGGGAGAGGGAUGCGGAAUUCCAGGUGUAGCGGUGAAAUGCGUAGAUAUCUGGAGGAACACCUGAGGUGAAGACGGGUUGCUGGGCCAACACUGACGCUGAUGCGCGAAAGCCAGGGGAGCAAACGGG